GCUCCAUACAACUCUUUACCAGAAGCCCAGCUGCUUUACCAGGCUCUUGCCUCUCAGCCAGAAGCAACAGAAAACAGACACCCAGGCUUCUCACCUCUCAGAGUAGCUGGACAGGUGUAUCCCCACUAGCGUGAGGAGCUAGAACCAACCUAGAUGUUGCUACCCAGCUUUCUUGUCAAUUUCACAAUUCUAACAUGAAGCCAUGAAAUUGACAAAACAUCCAGUGUAUAUAAUGCAGUGUCUACACAGAUAGUGAAUCUCCCUAACUUCACUGACAUAAGCACUGCACUUCUUGUCCAAGUGGAGUUAUAUCCACGUAGCAUAACAUUUACAUUGGCAGGACAUGGGUAUACUGUGUAGUGUACAGGCAUAAUUUUGUCACAAUGACCUAACUGUGACGUGUAGAUCAGACCAUACUUAAACCAAACCUAAGCCCCUGGUACAGACGCUGCUUGAUCAUCACAAGAAUUCUAUCCCCUUUCAAGGGGAUGGAUUUACUACAGUGAAAGAAAAACCCUUCUGUCACUGUAGCAAGUAGCUACACUACAGUACUACGGCACAGCAUUUGAAGAUUUAGGUUCUACAAAGUAUCACAGAAAUCCAGACUCAACUCUUGGCAGCAUGGAACCCUCAUAAUAAGACUGAAGAAUUCAUCUUUCCAUCACUGUUUCAACUAUAACCAUCUCCCAGCUGUUCAGUGACUUGAGGUGCCUACCCAUCACAAGAACCAACACUGCAAAUGGACAGCAGGAGCCUCUUUGCACCUUAUCAUUAUGUGUGAAGGAGAAUUUCAGCCUGUUUGCAGGCGCUGCGGGAAAGCUGGCAGUCAAUUAUGCAUAGCUGUGUCACUAGCAAACGUUAUGUGACUACAUCCUGGGAAUAAUCCUUAAGGGAUCACCCAUCAAAGACAUCUGCAGGGGAGGAGGUGGGUUCUUCUGCCAGCACUUGAAGGGAAGGAGUGAAACGGGAAUGCAAGAUAAUCAAUGAAUAUGCAGACUUGGUGAACAGGCAACCAAAUGUUUGGAGUAUUUUGUGAUUUAUUUGCUAUUUCACUGUCAAAGACCUCAAGCGUUUUACAAGAGGGCAGAAAUCAUCUCACCAAAAUCAUAUUAAGCAAGUGAGGCACCUUAGGACUUUGCCUAGUGACACUUUGUCGAAAGGGAAGGGAGGGUGGUAGGUGUACUGUCUUGUAGAGAAAACUCUGGAAAUCCUGCACACCCGUCAUAUUGGCCCCUAAAAACAGAUCCAGCUGCUUUGAGAAACAAGAAGAAAAUGGUGGAGCUGGGGGGAUGGUAUCUCGCUGGAACGACACCAUACACCUAGGGCUCGCCAUCUCCACAGCAGAAGCUUUUAAAGGCGGGCACCUAGGGAACAUCUGCCACCUUCUAACACUCCGCACUCUAGGGGCUUGUGAAACUACUGCCCCAUACACCGAGUCCGUGGCUGCAGCUCCCUGCAGGAAAGCCAGGGCAGCAGUGCAGGGCGCUGCAAUUUGUUAGCGCUGCCCCCUGGGCCUUCAAAGGGAGCAAUAAAAGCCCCAAGAAAAGAAAGGCAAUGGGCACUGAUCCCAGAGAUGUAACACGCUCUCCUCUUACCUUACCGCC